rnacentral:rRNA from 1 species
AACGAACGUUAGCGGCGCGCUUAACACAUGCAAGUCGUGCGAGAAAGGGCUUCGGCCCCGGUACAGCGGCGCACGGGUGAGUAACACGUAGGUAAUCUGCCCCCAGGUGGUGGAUAACCUUCCGAAAGGAGGGCUAAUACAGCAUGAGACCACGGGACCGAAAGGAACUGAGGUCAAAGCCGGCCACUUCACGAAAGCUGGCGCCAGGGGAUGAGCCUGCGGCCCAUCAGGUAGUUGGUAGGGUAAUGGCCUACCAAGCCGAAGACGGGUAGCUGGUCUGAGAGGAUGAUCAGCCACACUGGAACUGAGACACGGUCCAGACUCCUACGGGAGGCUG